GGGGUUAAAUUGUACGCGGGCUGGACCUCUCGGGGUUACAGCCUUGCUGAAUUAUUCACCCUUGUCUUUUGCGUACUUCUUGUUUCCUUGGUGGGUUCGCCCACCACUAGGACAAACAUAAACCUUUUGUAAUUGCAAUCAGCGUCAGUAACAAAUUAAUAAUUACAACUUUCAACAACGGAUCUCUUGGUUCUGGCAUCGAUGAAGAACGCAGCGAAAUGCGAUAAGUAGUGUGAAUUGCAGAAUUCAGUGAAUCAUCGAAUCUUUGAACGCACAUUGCGCCCUUUGGUAUUCCAAAGGGCAUGCCUGUUCGAGCGUCAUUUGUACCCUCAAGCUUUGCUUGGUGUUGGGCGUCUUGUCUCUAGCUUUGCUGGAGACUCGCCUUAAAGUAAUUGGCAGCCGGCCUACUGGUUUCGGAGCGCAGCACAAGUCGCACUCUCUAUCAGCAAAGGUCUAGCAUCCAUUAAGCCUUUUUUUCAACUUUUGACCUCGGAUCAGGUAGGGAUACCCGCUGAACUUAAGCAUAUCAAUAAGCCGGAGGAA
rnacentral:rRNA from 1 species